GACGAACGCUGGCGGCGUGCUUAACACAUGCAAGUCGAACGGAAAGGCCCUUCUUGGGGUACUUGCUUGGCGAACGGGCGAGUAACACGCGCGUAACUUGCCUUCGACUUCCGGAUAACUUCAUGCAACUGGGGCUAAUAACUGCUAGGAAUCCUUGCCGCAUGGUGGGGGGUGGAAAGCUUCGGCGGUUGUGGAUGGACUCGCGGCUUAUCAGUUUGUUGGUGGGGUAGUGGCUUACCAAGGCUUUGACGGGUAGCCGGCCUGGGGGGGCGACCGGCCACCAUGGGACUUGGGUACGGGCCAGACCCCUACGGGGGGCAACAGGGGGGAAUUUUUCACAAUGGGGGGGAGCCUGAUGCAAGCAAGCCGGGUGCGGGGUGAAGGGCUUCGGGUUGGAAACCGGUUUCAGCAGGGGAGGAACUUGUGGUGACGGUACCUGCAGAAGAAGCACCGGCUAACUACGUG
rnacentral:rRNA from 1 species